ACCCCGUGUCACUCAGCACCAGCUGCGAUCUACGCUUGAAUUCCAGUGCGCAUUGCUAUGCAUCUCGAUUCGUGACGUACUUUGAUGGGUGAUCAGUGAUACGUGAUACCAGGAGUGGUCCAUGCAUGGAUCAGAGAUGAUGCCGCUGAUCUGUGCUUCCAAAGAAAACACAAAACAGCUGUCCGUAGCUCCGGGGCGCGUGAUGCUGCUCCGCUGACAUCACCAACAGAGAGGAUUUCGAUGAACCGGCUCCUUCCUCCCGGAUUGUGAUCUGUGUUAGAGAAAAAACUGCUGUGAAUCACGAUAUCGAGAGCUUAGGUGCUGCCCUAUCAUACACAGAACAAGAGUCUCAAGAGUACAGGAAAGAAAUAGACUUGAGAUGACAGGAUCAGGAGAUAGCGACUACGACAAUGCCAAAACUUCGAAAGAACACGGGAAAGCCUAUCCAAUGUCGGCCGAUAGCGGGCAAGAGCUUCAUCUCGGAGCUCGUCUUCUGGGAUCCCUGGUCGUUCUGGGAUUGGUCCUCUCCAUUUUCAUAUACUGGCAUGUCAACUAUAUGCUGCGUGAUAUUCUGAAUAGAUGAGUCAAUUACACACAAAUCA